rnacentral:rRNA from 1 species
AACGAACGCUGGCGGCAUGCCUAACACAUGCAAGUCGAACGAUACCUCCGGGUCUAGUGGUGCACGGGUGCGUAACGCGCGGAAACCUGCCCUUAGGGUCGGAAUAACUCCCCGAAAGGGGUGCUAAUACCGGAUAAGGGCGGCGGACCAAAGAUUUAUCGCCUCUGGAUGGGACCGCGUUGGAGUAGGUAGUUGGUAGGGUAAAAGCCGACCAAGGCGACGAUCCAUAGCUGGUCUGAGAGGAUGAUCAGCCACACUGGGACUGAGACACGGCCCAGACUCCUACGGGAGGCAGCAGUGGGGAAUAUUGGACAGUCGGCGCAAGCCUGAUCCAGCACUGCCGCGUGAGUGAUGAAGGCCUUAGGGUUGUAAAGCUCUUUUACCCGGGAUGAUAAUGACAGUACCGGGAGAAUAAGCGCCGGCUAACUACGUG